rnacentral:rRNA from 1 species
GUAAUCGUAGAUCAGAAUGCUACGGUGAAUACGUUCCCGGGCCUUGUACACACCGCCCGUCACACCAUGGGAGUGGGCUGCAAAAGAAGUGGGUAGUUUAACCUUCGGGAGGACGCUCACCACUUUGUGGUUCAUGACUGGGGUGAAGUCGUAACAAGGUAGCCCUAGGGGAACCUGGGGCUGGAUCACCUCCUUA